CCUACGGGUGGCAGCAGUGGGGAAUAUUGGACAAUGGGGGGAACCCUGAUGCAGCCAUGCCGCGUGUGUGAAGAAGGCCCUCGGGUUGUAAAGCACUUUCAGUGAGGAAGAACGCCUGGUGGUUAAUACCCAUCAGGAAAGACAUCACUCACAGAAGAAGCACCGGCUAACUCCGUGCCAGCAGCCGCGGUAAUACGGAGGGUGCGAGCGUUAAUCGGAAUUACUGGGCGUAAAGCGCGCGUAGGUGGCUUGAUAAGCCGGUUGUGAAAGCCCCGGGCUCAACCUGGGAACGGCAUCCGGAACUGUCAAGCUAGAGUGCAGGAGAGGAAGGUAGAAUUCCCGGUGUAGCGGUGAAAUGCGUAGAGAUCGGGAGGAAUACCAGUGGCGAAGGCGGCCUUCUGGACUGACACUGACACUGAGGUGCGAAAGCGUGGGUAGCAAACAGGAUUAGAUACCCGUGUAGUC
rnacentral:rRNA from 1 species